UACAGAGGGGGCAAGCGUUAUUCGGAAUUAUUGGGCGUAAAGGGCGCGUAGGCGGUGGUUUAAGUGAGAUGUGUAAUCCCCGAGCUUAACUUGGGAACUGCAUCUCAGACUGGAUCGCUAGAGUGCUGGAGAGGGUGGUGGAAUUCCACGUGUAGCGGUGAAAUGCGUAGAGAUGUGGAGGAACACCAGUGGCGAAGGCGGCCACCUGGACAGUAACUGACGCUGAGGCGCGAAAGUGUGGGGAGCAAACAGG
rnacentral:rRNA from 1 species